UUAGUUUUUCUUUUUCUGCCUGUCUUAGGUCAUAUAUCACGAUGUCCUCCAGGUUCAACAAUAUGGCUCCAAAUGAUGAAAUUUCAUUCUGGUUUUCUGGCUGAAGACGAUUCUGUUUGUGUACAUCCACCAAGUAUUCCUUCAUCUGUGGAUGGGCAGGUUUUUCCAUGUGGCUGCAAGUGACGCGAUUUCCCCCAUUUCUAUGAUUGAAGAAUAUUCUGCUCUGGAUGUAUAUUGCAGUUUCCUCGUCCCUUCAUCAAUGGAUGAACAGGUAACAUUCAUUCUAUGUGGAUGGAAGCUGUAUCUCAGUGCGGUUUUCCUUGACGUUCUUGUGAGGAUUAGCGCUUUUCAGAGACUUUUCUUUUCCCUGUGAGUCAGUUUGACAUCUGCUUUGCAGACACGUCUAUUCAGGUCCUUUGCCCAGACUUAGCUUAGGUGUUUGUUUCUUUUUCUGUUUUUGUUUCCCUUCACAUGAUAGUGUUAGAUUCUUGCACAUAUUUUAUAAUGACCCCUUUCAAAGACAGGAUUUUCCCUAGUUUUCUUUCACUCUGUGAGGCACCUUCUCUUCUGUUCAUUGUUUUCUCUUCACAGCAUAAGGUCCGAUGUUUUCCGUAGUUCCACGUGUUUCCAUAUUAGUGGUGACUUCCAUGUGCAGUUAAAGACAGUGAAAAAGAUUGCCAAUCUGUGGGAUCGUCUAUGGUUUUUUCCUUCUAAUUUUUCUUUUUCUAUUUCACAUUUUGCAACUUGUGUGCAUAGAUUAGUCUUCUAAACUAUGUGCUUACCCUUUGUUUUCUGAGGGAAGUAAAUGGUUUCAAGAUUGACUUUAGGCCUUCAAUGUAAUUUACAUCGAUUUUUGUCCUAUUUCACUGUUUUUCAUGUGAUUAUCCAGUUUGCUCAAAAUCAUUUAUUAUUUUCCCAUUGUGUCUUUUUGUGUUGUGUUGAAAAAUGCGUUCAGUGUACAUUCAUUUGGGUGGCAUGUGGGACCCCCUCAUUCUGUCCAUUGGGUAGCCUUUCUGUUUUUAUGCCAGAGGCAGGUUGUUUGGAUAAAUAAAGGUUUUAGUUGCUUUAUCAUUAUGCCCACUUAGUACCUUUAGUUUCUUGCGUAUGUUAGAUAACAGUUCUUUUCGGAUACGUGAUUUUCUAUAAUUUUAUCCCAAUCUGUAGGAUCCCUUUUCUUUGGGUUCAUUGUUUUUUCCUUGUUUAUAAAUUUUAAAAUUGUCCUUUGGGAGCAGAUGGAGCUCUGAACAAAUUGUGCCUGGAGCUCAGAGUAGAUGGAGCAAGAUGAAGCUCAGCGUAGAUGGUGCUUAGAAUAAGAUGGAGCAGCAAGCAUAUGGUGCUCAGGGCAAGAUGGAGCUUCAGUGAUUGUAGCUCAGAACAGAAGGAGCUCGCGGAAGAUGUUGCUCCCAGUAAGAUGGAGCUCCAAGCAGAUGGUGCUCAGAGUAAGAAGGACCUAAGAAUGAUUAGAACUCUGAGAAAGAUAAUGCUCUCUGCUGAUGGUGCUUAGAGAGAGAUGGAGCUCAGGGUGAUUGCUCUGAGAGAUUGGAGCUCUGAGCAGAUGGAGCUCGGAGCAGAUGGUGCUCAGGGCAAAAUGGACCUCAAAGUGAUUGGCGCUCCAAAGAAGAUGGUUCUCUGAGCAGAUGGUGCUCAGAGCAAGAUGGAGCUACGUGCAGAUGAUGCUCACGGCAAAAUGAAGCUCAGAGUGAUUGGAACUUCAAAGAAUGUGGAUCUCAGAGCACAUGGUGCUCAGGGCAAGAUGGAGCUCAACAAGUUGGAGAUCAGAGCAGAUGGAAGUCCGGGCAAGAUGGAACUCGGAGACAAUGUUGCUCACGGUAAGAUGGAGUGCAAAGUGAUUGGAGCUCCUAAGAUGAUGGAUCUCGGAGAAGAUGAUGCUCAGGGCAAGAUGGAGCUCAGAGCGAUUAGAGCUCCAAGCAAGAUGGAGCUGGGAGCAGAUGCUGCUCAGAGCAGGAUGGAGGUUGGAGUGAUAGGAGUCCUGAGCAAGAUGGAGCUUGGAGCAAAUGGAGCUCAGAGUAGACGGAGCUCCGAGCAGACGGUGUUCUGAGUAGAUGGUGCUCAGAGCAAGGGAGCUCAGAGUGAUUAGACCUCCAGGCAAGAUGGAGCUCGGAGCAGAUGGAGCUCUGAGCAAGAUAGAGCUCGGAGCAGAUGCUACUCAGCAAGAUGGAGCUCAGAGCAGAUGGAGCUCCAAGCAAGAUGGAGCCCCUUGAAGAUGGUGUUAAAGGAAAGACAGAGCUCAAAGUGAUUUGACCUCUCAGCAAGAUACAGCACUUGGAGCAGAUAGAGCUCAGAGCAAGAUGGAAUUUGGAGCAGUUGAAGCUCUAAGAAGAUGGAGCUCUGAGCAAGAUGGAGCUUGGAGCAGAUGGAGCUCUGAGCAAGAGGAACUUGGAGUGAUUGGAGCUUGGAGCAAGAUGGAGCUUGGAGCAGAUGGAGCUCUGAGCAAGAUGGAGCUCGGAGUGAUUGGAGCUCUGAGCAAGAUGGAACUCGGAGCAGUUGAAGCUCUAAGAAGAUGGUGCUCUGAGCAAGAUGGAGCUUCGAGCAGAUGGAGCUCAGACUUAUUUGAGCUCUGAGUAAGAUGGAGCUCAAAGCAAGAUGGAAGUUGGAGCAGAUGUUGCUUGGAGUAUGAUGGAGCUCGGAGAAGUUGGAGCUCUAAGCAGAUGGAGCUGUAAGCAAGAUAGAGCUCAGAGCAGAUGGAACUUGGAGCAGAUGGAGCUCCAAGCGUGAUGGCACUUUGACCAAGAUGGAACUCAGAGCAGAUGAAGCUCCAAGCAAUAUGGUGCUUCAGUCAAGAUUUAGCAUGGAUUUAGCAGAUGGUACUUGCAGCAGAUCGCACUACUGCACUCCAGCUUGGGCCACUGAGCAAAUUUUUUCUCAAAAAAAAAAAAAUCUGUCUCAAAAAAAAAAAAU